rnacentral:rRNA from 1 species
AUACGGAGGGUGCAAGCGUUAAUCGGAAUUACUGGGCGUAAAGCGUACGUAGGCGGUUCGUUAAGUUAGAUGUGAAAGCCCCGGGCUUAACCUGGGAACUGCAUUUAAAACUGGCGAACUAGAGUUGAGUAGAGGGGAGUGGAAUUUCAGGUGUAGCGGUGAAAUGCGUAGAGAUCUGAAGGAACACCAGUGGCGAAGGCGACUCCCUGGACUCGAACUGACGCUGAGGUACGAAAGCGUGGGUAGCAAACGGGAGUAGAAACCCUUGUAGUCC